rnacentral:lncRNA from 1 species
AUACACAUUGAGACGCUGUCCCAUCUCCUGGAUGAGGUUGGCCGCCUGCUGGCGGCACGAGAGCUCUUUAUCCGCCUCCACUCCGCAGCGGCGGCUCGGCGUGUUCUCCAGCUGUUCCCGAGUAAAGAACCAGCGAGAAGAAGCUCCACGGCCCGACGCCAUGACACUUCCUCCUCCGCCCGCUCCUUCAUUCACCCCCCGCCCCUCCUGGCUCGCGGACUCCCCGCCAAGGCGCGCGACCCCGCCCCACUCCGCUCGCCGUAGACCACGCACCACCCUUUUUCACCACCGCCUCCGCCCUUGCGCAUGCGCGGGGCCCGCUCUACCGACUCGCCCUAGUCUUUUGCUUUCUUUUUCUGCCCUCGGCCUCGCUCUUGCGCACGGGACCACAAUGCUCCGCGCCGCUUGUCAUUGGGAGGCGCCGAAGGUGGAGAGGUCGGCUCGGAAGGAAAAGAUCACUCACUCUUGGGGGCAUCCAGCAGCCAUGUUGUGAGGACACUCAAGCAGCUGUGAAGAGGUGCACCUGGAGAGGAACUGAGGCCUCCCACCAAAACCAAGCACUGACAUGCCACUCAUGGCAAUCACAGGAAUAUAUAAAACAUGAGCAGAAAGAGGCCUUUGGAGAAAUCUGGACCAGCAUUCUCAUUUUACGGAUGAGGGACCACGGCCCAUGGAGGUUUCCAUAGAUGAUUGGAAAAACCCAAGAGUUGGUCCUCUGUUCCAGACCCCACACAGACACAAACCUACAAGCCAAGGGAGCCAGUAUUUGGCCAUUCGUCCAUCCAUCUGCAUGUCCCAGGGAUGCACGAACAGGGAACACUUCAGCCUUUCGGCUGCCUUCAAAGAAGCAAUGAGAGAGAGAGAGAGGGUUACUUUGAUGAGUGAGCAGAUACCAGGUACUGUUUUGGGGAAACUGCUUUUCUCUGAGUCUAUAUUGGUCU